rnacentral:rRNA from 1 species
CUUGGCGGCCAUAGCAGCUUGGACCCACCCCUUCCCAUCCCGAACAGGACCGUGAAACGGGCUCGCGCCGAUGAUAGUGCGGAUUACCCGUGCGAAAGUAGGUCACCGCCAGGC